rnacentral:lncRNA from 1 species
AUCUCCUUGAUAUUAACUGUUAGGAAUGGAAUGCCAAUCAGGCUUAGUGGGGAUUAAGUCCGUUGACAUUGAGUUAGAUGCUUUCCUGAUGAAGGGACAGGGUCAUAAAAAGGUUCACACUUGCGUUUUUGACUGUCUUCCUUAAAAGCCCAUCUCUCUUAAAGCAAUGAAAUAAGUGUUAGCUUAACAUUCUGACACGCUUAAAAAAAAAAUUCUGCUGGAGUGUGGGAACUCGAUACAGUACAGGAAGCACUGAGUCAUGGAGACCUAAAUGAGGAACGAAUAAACAGUCAAGUGCCGG